GAAAGGCUAAUCCUUGUAGAAGUAUGGUGUUUGAAGAAAUUUACAGCUAGUGGUUGCGACAAUCUAGUCGAAAUUCGAGGUCUUGAUGGGACGGAGUUCUUAGAAACAUUGGAUCUAUGUUUUUGUAAGUCCAUUGAAAGAUUACCUGACCUAUCAUGCUUUGGGACCUUGAAAGAAUUGAACAUUAAUGACUAUCGCAAUCUACAUGAUGUUGAGAGUCUCGAGAGCUUUUUGUCUUGCCGAAGCAUAUACAUAACGGGGUGCAUAUCAUUAGAAAAACUACCAAACCUGUCAAAAUUUGAAAAUUUAGAGAAUUUCACAUUGAAGUAUUCGUUUCAUAUUACAGACAUUCCUGGGAUUAAGGAAUCAAGAUCUCUAACACACAUAGAUAUCAGAGGAUGUGUAUCAAUGCAGACUUUGCCGAUUUGUCAGGAUGUAAGAAGUUAGAACGUCUAGUGGUACGAGACUGCAAGAAACUUACUCAACUUUGGGGAUUGGAAAAGUUGGAUAUUAUUUAUUUGGAUAUUUCUGGGUGCGACUCAUUGCAAACAAUACAUAUGUUAGCUAAUACACACAUCAUGAGAAAUUAUGAAAGUCAGCCAUAUGUGAAGGACUAUCAAAAUAUUAUAUUGCAGUGAUAAUGAUAUGAUAGAUCUUAUACCCAUAUUACAAUAAUGAGACGAGCCACGUUUCCUUAACAAAGGUAAAUAAGCCAUAAAAUACCAUUUUUCUUCUGAGAUUCAUAACUUAUUUUUCAUCACUAUUUUCUUUUGACAAGAAGGUUUUCCUUGACAGGGUUCUAUACUUUCCUGAACUUCUAGUCUUACAUAGUUGAAGGAGUCAUGAUGGUGGUUGAAGAAGCUGACUUGAUGCUUAAGCCAAGAUCAAAAUGUAGACCCAAAUGUGUCUACAUACAAUAGAAGGCAUUUGUCAUCUAGUCUGGCUAACUUGUCUAAGAAGCUUCAAAUUCCAUACCAGAGACCGAUCAAAAUGAAGAGGAGGGAUUUUUUAGAGGAAGCAUCAACAACAACUCAGGGCCAUUUGCCGUGCCAACCUUGAAGAGGCUAGUGUGCCAGCUAGAGUGUCCUGAGGAAGUUUUGAUGUUGGUGAAGAUCCGAAGAUGUGAUAUGGUCUAUACCCAAAUGACUGACUUGAGUGUUUUCAAUUGAAUCUGCUUCAUGUAUGCUCAUUAGGUUCUACCUCUCUGUUAAUCAAAUACGUACCUGUUGAUAUCCUUGUAUGUUAUCCUGAUGCAGAGUUGCUUGAUGCAGUUGCAUUCUA